rnacentral:ncRNA from 1 species
GAACGUUUGCAGAGAUGCACUUCGGUAUUUACAGAAGUCAGCAGACGCCAUAGUAGUUCAGAAACGAGUCCUGUCAAGAAACAAAUACAGGGAAGUCUCACGAAAGACCGAAGGGC